AGUUUGAUCCUGGCUCAGGAUGAACGCUAGCUACAGGCUUAACACAUGCAAGUCGAGGGGCAUCAGGAAGAAAGCUUGCUUUCUUUGCUGGCGACCGGCGCACGGGUGAGUAACACGUAUCCAACCUGCCCUUUACUCGGGGAUAGCCUUUCGAAAGAAAGAUUAAUACCCGAUGGGAUAAUGAUUCCGCAUGGUUUCAUUAUUAAAGGAUUCCGGUAAAGGAUGGGGAUGCGUUCCAUUAGGUUGUUGGUGAGGUAACGGCUCACCAAGCCUUCGAUGGAUAGGGGUUCUGAGAGGAAGGUCCCCCACAUUGGAACUGAGACACGGUCCAAACUCCUACGGGAGGCAGCAGUGAGGAAUAUUGGUCAAUGGGCGUGAGCCUGAACCAGCCAAGUAGCGUGAAGGAUGACUGCCCUAUGGGUUGUAAACUUCUUUUAUAUUAGAAUAAAGUGCAGUAUGUAUACUGUUUUGUAUGUAUAAUAUGAAUAAGGAUCGGCUAACUCCGUGCCAGCAGCCGCGGUAAUACGGAGGAUCCGAGCGUUAUCCGGAUUUAUUGGGUUUAAAGGGAGCGUAGGUGGACUGGUAAGUCAGUUGUGAAAGUUUGCGGCUCAACCGUAAAAUUGCAGUUGAUACUGUCAGUCUUGAGUACAGUAGAGGUGGGCGGAAUUCGUGGUGUAGCGGUGAAAUGCUUAGAUAUCACGAAGAACUCCGAUUGCGAAGGCAGCUCACUGGACUGCAACUGACACUGAUGCUCGAAAGUGUGGGUAUCAAACAGGAUUAGAUACCCUGGUAGUCCACACAGUAAACGAUGAAUACUCGCUGUUUGCGAUAUACAGUAAGCGGCCAAGCGAAAGCAUUAAGUAUUCCACCUGGGGAGUACGCCGGCAACGGUGAAACUCAAAGGAAUUGACGGGGGCCCGCACAAGCGGAGGAACAUGUGGUUUAAUUCGAUGAUACGCGAGGAACCUUACCCGGGCUUAAAUUGCAGUGGAAUGAUGUGGAAACAUGUCAGUGAGCAAUCACCGCUGUGAAGGUGCUGCAUGGUUGUCGUCAGCUCGUGCCGUGAGGUGUCGGCUUAAGUGCCAUAACGAGCGCAACCCUUAUCUUUAGUUACUAACAGGUCAUGCUGAGGACUCUGGAGAGACUGCCGUCGUAAGAUGUGAGGAAGGUGG
rnacentral:rRNA from 1 species